UACAGAGGGUGCGAGCGUUAAUCGGAAUUACUGGGCGUAAAGCGUGCGUAGACGGUUAUUUAAGUCGGGUGUGAAAUCCCCCAGGCUCAACCUGGGAACUGCAUUCGAGACUGCAUAGCUAGAGUAUGGGAGAGGGAAGUGGAAUUUCAGGUGUAGCGGUGAAAUGCGUAGAUAUCUGAAGGAACAUCAGUGGCGAAAGCGACUUCCUGGACCAAUACUGACGCUCAUGUGCGAAAGCGUGGGGAGCAAACAGG
rnacentral:rRNA from 1 species